rnacentral:rRNA from 1 species
UACGUAGGGACCAAGCGUUGUCCGGAAUCAUUGGGCGUAAAGCGCGCGUAGGUGGCUUCGUAAGUCCGUUGUGAAAGUCAAAGGCUCAACCUUUGAAAGCCGAUGGAUACUGCGGAGCUAGAGUACGGAAGAGGCGAGUGGAAUUCCUGGUGUAGCGGUGGAAUGCGCAGAUAUCAGGAGGAACACCAAUAGCGAAGGCAGCGCGCUGGGACGUUACUGACACUGAGGCGCGAAAGCGUGGGGAGCGAUCCGG